rnacentral:rRNA from 1 species
AUUGAACGCUGGCGGCAGGCCUAACACAUGCAAGUCGAGCGGUAGAGAGGUGCUUGCAUCUCUUGAGAGCGGCGGACGGGUGAGUAAUGCCUAGGAAUCUGCCUAGUGGUGGGGGAUAACGUUCGGAAACGGACGCUAAUACCGCAUACGUCCUACGGGAGAAAGCGGGGGAUCUUCGGACCUCGCGCCAUUAGAUGAGCCUAGGUCGGAUUAGCUAGUUGGUGAGGUAAUGGCUCACCAAGGCGACGAUCCGUAACUGGUCUGAGAGGAUGAUCAGUCACACUGGAACUGAGACACGGUCCAGACUCCUACGGGAGGCAGCAGUGGGGAAUAUUGGACAAUGGCGAAAGCCUGAUCCAGCCAUGCCGCGUGUGUGAGAAGGUCUUCGGAUUGUAAAGCACUUUAAGUUGGGAGGAAGGGUAGUAACCUAAUACGUUGCUACUUUGACGUUACCGACAGAAUAAG